AGGGAAUCUUCCGCAAUGGGCGAAAGCCUGACGGAGCAACGCCGCGUGAGUGAUGAAGGUUUUCGGAUCGUAAAGCUCUGUUGCGGGGGAAGAACGUCGGGUAGAGUAACUGCUAUCCGAGUGACGGUACCUGAGAAGAAAGCCCCGGCUAACUACGCGCCAGCAGCCGCGGUAAUACGUAGGGGGCAAGCGUUGUCCGGAAUUAUUGGGCGUAAAGCGCGCGCAGGCGGCCAUUUAAGUCUGGUGUUUAAUCCCGGGGCUCAACCCCGGGUCGCAUCGGAAACUGGGUGGCUGGAGUGCAGAAGAGGAAAGUGGAAUUCCACGUGUAGCGGUGAAAUGCGUAGAGAUGUGGAGGAACACCAGUGGCGAAGGCGACUUUCUGGGCUGUAACUGACGCUGAGGCGCGAAAGCGUGGGGAGCAAAC
rnacentral:rRNA from 1 species